rnacentral:snRNA from 1 species
GGAUGUGAGGGCGAUCUGCCUGUGACAUCUGUCACCCCAUUGAUCACCAGGGUUGACUCAGCUGAUCUGGCUGACAAGGUGGGUGAUCCCUUCCUCCCUCUCCAUACCAUGUGCAUCCAAGCUACGUGCUCAGUUGAAGAGGACGAUCUUCCCCAUAGGAGGUGGACUGUCCUUCCCUCAAGGGUAUACGAGUAGCUGCGCUCCCCUGCUAGAACCUCCAAACAAGUCUCAAGAAUGUAAGUACAUAGUCACAACUGCCUACACACUUUAGCCAUAGCAUACAAAGACUUGUACUA